UGGGGAAUCUUGCACAAUGGGGGAAACCCUGAUGCAGCGACGCCGCGUGAACGAUGAAGCCCUUCGGGGUGUAAAGUUCUUUCGACAGGAACGAUAAUGACGGUACCUGGAGAAGAAGCUGCGGCUAACUGCGUGCCAGCAGCCGCGGUAAUACGUAGGCAGCGAGCGUUGUUCGGAGUUACUGGGCGUAAAGAGUGCGUAGGCGGCGAGCCAAGUUUGGUGUGAAAUCUCCCGGCUUAACCGGGAGGGUGCGCCGAAAACUGGUUGGCUGGAGUAUGGGAGAGGAAAGCAGAAUUCCUGGUGUAGCGGUGAAAUGCGUAGAUAUCAGGAGGAACACCUGCGGUGUAGACAGCUUUCUGGAUCAAAACUGACGCUGAGGCACGAAAGCGUGGGUAGCAAACA
rnacentral:rRNA from 1 species